ACAAAAGUCAAGUUUGGAGAGGCUCUGGAUACAGAAUGGGAUCUGAAAUGAUGGAAUCUGAUGGCUCUGAAAACUCCAGACAGCUUCCUGGCAGAGAACAUGUUCAGCUAAAAGGCAAGAACAGAACACAAGGAAGCAAGGAAACAAACUAUUUGCGAAACAUUAACUAAAGCCCACCAUCCAAGGACAGCACUCGGAUAUCCCUUUGACAGAUGGCAACACUGAGCACUGCUCAAGGUACAAGGACAAAGUUAACAGCCUUGACUUGUAGGGUUCCUGCUCUUCUAUCCUGGUGUGAAGGACGGCUGCCUAAGAGGAGCUGUAAAGAGCCCAGAAAGACCUGAGCAUGCAAAGUCUUUCCCAGUUAUUUUCAAGCCCAGGUGAGCCGAGCCUGUGCCCAGCAGCGGGGGUGUAAUUUUGUGAUCGCAGGGAAGAAGCACAUCCUGCUCACUUGCUGUGUGGUCCCACCCUGCCCGUCCCUCCGCCCAGGUGUGGGGCGCGAGCCUCUUUUUGGCAGAUCCGUUUUCAUUAAAGUGAUGCGGUGUUCGAAAGAGCAACCUGUCUUGACGACCUCGAUCCCCUCCACUUUCGUCUUCAGUGACCCAUUCCUUCUCCAGCAGCAUUGAAAGA